AGAAGGAUCCCUUAUGCGCUACCGAGGCAAUGAUUGCCUAGUCUUGGUCAAUACAGAAGAUCCAGCAGUGACAGGAUCAAUCACAAGCAUUCUUGAGGUUGAUGAUGGGGGAAGUUGCAUGGGUUGUUUGAGUGGGGAGGACCCAGGAGUAUCAGUCACAUGAGGAAUGCCCUUGUCUGUCAUUGGCUUCCUCCUUGGUCUAACCAUAUUCAGCUCCAACCCAGGGACAGUCCUCUCAGCAUCCUUUUUUUUAUUUUUGCUUUGCUGGCCUAUGCUCAUGACAUGUUAGCCCUCAAAUUAUUUGGAUGGAAUAAAUGUAAUUUGCAAACACAGUAUCUUUAUUGACUGUUACCUAACACAUUUCUGUAAUGCAUGUUGGGUCCUUAUUCAGUUCAUAUUACUGCAUAAAUCAACUUCUACUUACUUGUCCUCC